UACGUAGGGCGCAAGCGUUGUCCGGAAUUAUUGGGCGUAAAAGAGCUCGUAGGCGGUCUGUCGCGUCGGAUGUGAAAAGCCCGGGGCUUAACCCCCGGGUCUGCAUUCGAUACGGGCAGACUAGAGUGUGGUAGGGGAGAUCGGAAUUCCUGGUGUAGCGGUGAAAUGCGCAGAUAUCAGGAGGAACACCGGUGGCGAAGGCGGAUCUCUGGGCCAUUACUGACGCUGAGGAGCGAAAGCGUGGGGAGCGAACAGG
rnacentral:rRNA from 1 species